rnacentral:rRNA from 1 species
AAUGAACGCUGGCGGCAGGCCUAACACAUGCAAGUCGAGCGGAAGAAGGUAGCUUGCUCCUGGGAUCAGCGGCGGACGGGUGAGUAAUGCCUAUGAAUCUGCCUGCAAGAGGGGGAAAACGCCCGGAAAAGGGCGCUAAUACCGCAUACGUCCUGGGGGUGCACGUGGGGGAUCUUCGGACCUUACGCUAUCAGAUGAGCCUAGGUCGGAUUAGCUAGUUGGUGGGGUAAAGGCCUACCGAGGGGACGAUCAGUAACUGGUCUGAGGGGACGAUCAGUCACGCUGGAACUGGAACACCGUCCAGACUCCUACGGGAGGCCGCAGUGGGCAAUAUUGGACAGUGGGCGAAGGCCUGAUCCAGCCAUGCGGCGUGUGUGAAGAAGGUCUUCGGAUUGUGAAGCACAUGAAGUUGGGAGGAAGGGCAUUAAGUUAAGACCUUGCUGUUUUGACGUUACCAGCAGAAUAAGCACCGGCUAACUUCGUG